rnacentral:rRNA from 1 species
CAGCCGCGGUAAUACGGGGGGAGCAAGCGUUAUCCGGAAUGAUUGGGCGUAAAGCGUCUGUAGGUGGUUUUUUAAGUCUACUGUCAAAUACGUUGGCUCAACCAACGGCAGGCAGUGGAGUACUAAAGAACUAGAGUGCGGUAGAGGUAGAGGGAAUCCCUAGCGUAACAGUGAAAUGUGUAGAUUUUAGGGAGAACACCAGCGGCGAAGGCGCUCUACUGGGCCGAUACUGACACUGAGAGACGAAAGCUAGAGUACGAAUAGGAUUAGAUUCCUNCUAAUUCUNGCUGUANACCAUGGAAACUAAGAGGAGGUAACC